AUACGUAGGGGGCGAGCGUUGUCCGGAAUGAUUGGGCGUAAAGGGCGCGUAGGCGGCGCGGUAAGUCUGGAGUGAAAGUCCUGCUUUCAAGGUGGGAAUUGCUUUGGAUACUGCCGCGCUUGAGUGCAGGAGAGGUUAUCGGAAUUCCCGGUGUAGCGGUGAAAUGCGUAGAGAUCGGGAGGAACACCAGUGGCGAAGGCGGGUAACUGGACUGCAACUGACGCUGAGGCGCGAAAGUGUGGGGAGCAAACAGGAUUAGAUACCCUGGUAGUCCACACUGUAAACGAUGAAUACUAGGUGUGCGGGGACUGACCCCCUGCGUGCCGGCGUUAACACAAUAAGUAUUCCACCUGGGGAGUACGAUCGCAAGGUUGAAACUCAAAGGAAUUGGCGGGG
rnacentral:rRNA from 1 species